UUUCCGUAGGUGAACCUGCGGAAGGAUCAUUAUAAAUGAAAAACGAAUAACUUCAGGGAAGAAGGGAACCUGCACGGUGACCUCCCCUGUCGGGCCACCCAAUACCUUCAAAAUGCCGCCGUCCUAGCGGUGGCAGACGAAAAAAAAACAAGAAAAACAAAAUAGAAACAGGCACGGUGGCCCGUUCACCUUCACACAACCCUCCGAGUACCGCUUCCAUGUUGCUUCCCCGCAAAUCUACCUCUUUGGUGAGCGCGGGGGAGGUCCACAUCAAAUUCACCUGAAUGUCACAGCAGUCAGACAGCCAUUCAUGGAAACAAUAAAACUUUCAACAACGGAUCUCUUGGUUCUC
rnacentral:misc_RNA from 1 species